GGGGGAGGGGGGCAUUUUAAAGAUUUAGCUUGUUUUUUUGGUUUGAUCUAUUUUUCAUGCACAUGCUGACGUAAUCCAUGGAUCGCUCUAGGAGGAUUGGAUCAACCCAGGGCGUGCAGUGCCUCGCACGAUACCAGUAUUACUUUGUUGAAAUUGAUAAAACCGACAUCUCCCUCUUUAUUUUGGAUGACCUGUAGUUCUCCUUUUGCUGAUACGUGACCAAUAAACCAAAUGAAUUGUAUAGGAUAGACCAGGGGUUUCCAAUUCAUUUUGCCACAGCCCACAUUGUCGUUAUUGUUUCUCUUGAAGGGCAGUUAUGACUGUGAAACCUUAUAGAGACGUUAAGAAGAAUCGUUUCUUCAACUCUUUAAGUUAGUUUGCUCACAAGGAAAGACAUUGCAGCAGGAGUUUGAUUGGCUUUCGCGGGCCACAUGAAAUGAUGUGGCGGGCAAGAUUUGGGCCCACCCGCCUUGAGUUGGACACCAGUGAUAUAGAACCUUUCCAGAUUUCCAUACAACCCCUUGUCGUGUUAAAUAGCAUCCAAGUAAGCGUUUCAUUUUCUUGCUGACUCACCAUGAUAAGUGCUUUCCGUAUCGGAUAUACUUGAUGAGAUCCGAUUAGCAGACAUUCAGUGUCUUAAAUGCAAGCUACCUUUUAGUGCUCAUUAAAAAGGACUCAUAAUGGUUCCAACUGAAAUGCCUUGACAGGGCAAGCCACUAGAGCAUUAAAACUCAGACAUUUCAAUUCAAAUGUUGAAAAAAAUGGCAAAUAUUUGGACAACAAAUACGACCAAUACUGAGCUUGUAUGAUCACUCCAAACAAGCCGGCGUUCGCUAUGACCGUGACGUUGCUAGCACGACUUAUUCGCAAUAGUGUUGUCAUGCCACAACAUAUAUUAUUUCGAAUGUGUAAGCAAUUAAAAUUUACAACAAAACCCCCCAAAAGAGAUGAUACAUCUCGGCAAACAGAAAUUAGGUCACUUGGCUCUGCCUCUGUUUGCUAAUCUUGGCCAGUUGUUAGGAAAUGAGGAGGAAUGAGGAAUGCUAGCUAACAGGUCAUAGUGAGGCUCUGUGCGGUCAGGCUAACUCCCAUUUUAACAUUCCAUAUAUGUUGGGGCAUAAAGAUGACAUUUUUAUUUGACAGCAACCGUAUCUAUAAAAAUAUAUCUCAACAUACUGUCAUAUUUCACUCUUGCUCAGAGUGCCGUGCAAUGAAAGAAAUUGCUCUGUAAUUGUCUAAACUUGUGAUGAUUAGACACAAUUAAUUUCACAGCUUUCCCCAAACGCAGAGCCUGAUCUCAUUUGAUGAGGCGGUGUAAAAUGGAUGAAAAGUGGCGAGCUCAUUGCGAGACAUCUGAAAUCUGUAACAAAGAGAGUGGAAAGAAAACCGGCUGAUGUGGUAUUUGGUUCCUUUUCAUGUAAUUUUACUUGCACUGGCAGGGAUGGGUUUUUUUUUUUUGGAGGUUUUUUUUUUGGUGCUUCCCGAAGGAUGAAUCUGAUCUGUUCCAUGAGGUUGGUAUGUUGCUUGGUAACAUGGCUCGGUGGAGUGUUUCAUGUCAGGAGGAGUUCAUGUACGGGUGCAUCAGACUACAGGCUCCACUUGCGAGGCUGUCGAAUGUCUAAUUUCAUGUCAGUAGGGAAUUCAAGGACAAAUUAUGUUGGGGCGUAAAGCUAAAAGUCAAGCCAUCAUGGAUUUUUUUAUUUCAAUUUUUUAAAAAACAUUUGUGGACAGUGCCAAACAAAUGAACCAUGUUUGAAACUCACGUCCUGCCUUUCGCGCACACAGAAAGUGGCACCUUGGGGAAAUGAAGAUGAAUGACGAGCGCUUUGCUAAGCGGCCCCGCAAGAAGCUUAGGAGAUAAUGUGGGCGCACACACGCACCGACAACAGCCUCCUACUUGGUUUACACACAUUAUGCAAUGCGCAAGAGCAUUUUUGUUCAAAUUUAUUUAUUUUUUUAUAAACCUUCCUGUGCCUUGUCUUGCUUGUCAAGUAAAGUAGAUGCACUGAGCUUUGUUCCAUCGCUCACGCUUGCAUUAAACCAUUUGCUUCUACAACAGCUUGAAGCUUUAAGUGUUACGAAGCCCCGUCGAGAAAAUACGGCACCGAUAUGAAGCUUAUUAGACGGGCAGCUGCAGAGAGCCAUAAACAGGAAAGCACUAAUGUACUCCCUUGUAUCAAUGUCGACUUUGCCUUUUUUAAAGAAAAUAAAUAAAUAAUUAAAGGGGGGGGGGGCUUGCGUGAGCACACGAGAAAACAUCCACGUUCAUUUAGGUUGUAAUUGCACCGGCUGAUUCUUAACUGGAAACCAAACAGGAGGAUAGAUUAGUGCCAGUAAUGAGUCAAAACAAAAGGACAAUGAACUCGAGAUCCCAAUCGGAAAGGCAAUGUUGUGUUUCGACUUCAAGCAGAUUGGACAGAUGCCUGGUUGAUGCCAUCAUAAUAAUUAUUUCCAGUUGCUUUCACUAAUUCAUUCUUCUAAGUGUCUCUUUGGCACACGAUCAGAUUCCUUCUUCCUGGGAUCAACGGAGUUCUGUUCCAAAUCAUAAAGCCUCUUUUCUGCUGGACACUGUUGACUCGGCUUGACAUAUCUUUGCUCAUAUUUAAUUUUUUUCCUUUGACCAGGGGGAAGAAUCAGAUCGCAGAUUCCUCCUCUGUCGCACCGAUUCCUGCCGUGUUUUGUCGGUCUUGUUUUUACCGAGCGAUGCGUUCAACGCACGCCGUUGUUUUGCCGGAAGUCGUUGUUACACGGAUUCCGAGAGACGGGAACAUUUCAGCACAAAAACAAUAAGCGAGGAUCACGUUCAGGCAAAAAGUCAGUCACACUCUAAUCAGGCCUGUAACACCCACACACGUGCAGUCAUACAAACGCGCACACUCUCGAAAGGGAAACGUUAAUCACGUCAGGGGCUUGUUUUACUGAAGGAGCUCCGCUGAGAGAAAUUCCUCAUUAAUAUCAACCCGCCUCCUCAGGCCUUUAGUUAGCAAGCUUAGCUUAUACACAAAUACUCACAAACGCACAUUUACAAAGGCAUUAUAAAUUGAAGAGACACCCACCCUUGCAUGUACAGUGAAACUCCUCUGCAACGAAACUUACAUGGAUGAAAAUACCCCCUAGUGUGAAAAAAACCUUCAUGCAACACCAUUCCCACUUUCCUGUCCCCCAUACAACGAAAAAAACCCCUGUUGCGUUAUACGAAAGCUUUUGCCUCGCGACGAGAUUCACUACGACGAAGUCUAAUCCAACGGCGACCUCUACUGCUUCGUUUGGAAACGGCAGCAGCAACCACAACACUGGUUUACACAUGCACAGUAGUCCAGGAAGUAUUAUUGUUAGUUUCAGACGUAAUGAUGUAAGUGAAAGUAAAUUCUGAUCGUAAAUUUCACAAUUUCUUUCCCUUUUUUUCUUUCUACACUGACUCUAUGGAGUGUCAAAUAAGUGUAUGCUCAUACUUAUGCACUAUUGGAAUAAAAAUAAGAGUACACAUACGUUUGUGUGUGAGUGUACACAUACGUUUGUGUGUGUGUUUUUGUAUGUUUACAUCUGAGAUCAAAUUUGCUGCCGUGAAAACCCCCCUGUUGUGAAAAAUUUCUUGCUGCAAACAUGAUUUCGUUGUAGAGGAGUUUCACUGUAUUAUGUAUUGUACGGCCAAUCCCGCAGUACUCAACGCCUUCUGCUUGCGUCAUAUGCACCCAUCUCGACUUGGGAAACAUUGUCUUUGUGUAUGACCUAAAAAAACAAAACAUCGGACCGGCAAACCCUUUCAUUCACAAGGUGUUUGUGCGGGUUUAUUUGGGGAAGUUUUGAUUUCCCGUCUGCUGACUGAAGAAUUGUUCUUAUCUCCCACGACGUCCACUUAUUGUCCGCCUGCUGCCAUUUACUUUUGAUGACAUUGAAGCCCCUUGGUAUCCUCCGAACUGAGCCAGCCGCACAGUGAUCAUAACACAAAAACACACACGCGCACGCGGAAGCUCCUGUUCGCAGGAAAUUGGAAAGGAAGUGUCUGACGGAUAACCCACGGGGAUGUGCCAAACUUCACUUCCUGUUUCAAUGAGCUAUUGUUCUCCAAAGUGGUAAAGAGGCGCGGUAAAGGAUGUGCACUUUAAAGGCAUCCAUGAAGAGCUCACUGCCAAACGGCUAUUCGCGAUCAGCAGACGCAACCGAACCCGACUAGAAAGCUAAUUUUGAUUGGCUGUCACAUCUGAAGACGACGUGACGCCGCGCAACGCCGAUUCCAGAUUCGGAAUAGCCGUUGGCCAACCGUCGGCCACUCGUGAAAAGUCGUUGCCGAGGCCUCGCGCGCUGCCCGAGAGUUCAGUCGGGUUCGGACGCGAUGCAACAUGCUAAACCCUCGGGCCCGAUUUGAAAAGCGAAGCCGGCAGUCAUUGUCGGUUCUGUUUUCUAUUGUUAUGGGCUGAUGGUUUGAAAUGGAAGUUUGUAUUGGUUUGAUUUUGAGGUCAAAACUCGAUAACCGCAUAUAUGCAGAUUUUUAAUCAAAUGGACACAAUACCAGUGAACAGUUUACAGGCUAGAAUGGAAAAUUGAAGAAUGUUCCCACUGUUCUGCUAUGUUGUUGUUUGUCUGACAUAGAUUCUUAUUAUUUUUGGGGUGGAGGAUUGGAUGAAGGGUUCAAAUUCUUCCACACGAACUCAUCCAUGUGUAGGGGCCAGAUGAGCGCAGAAAGAUACUCGCUUCUUAAUUGUGCAAAUAUUUUCCCAUGUUGUUGAACAGGAGCGUUAUGACCUGACCACAAGGGUCCGAGCAUUCCACAACGGGGUGAGCCUGCGGUGACAUCAUUCAUGUUGCGCAACAAUAAUUGCUUUAGUGGAAGACGAGGAGUUGCAACAAGGCGAAUGAGUACACCUUGUACAUGUGUACAAAAUUAUAGCUGAAGCCUUUUUAUAGGGCCGGAGGGUGUGUAGUUUUCAAAUCCUUUUGAUAGUUUGGGAAAACGCCAAACGCGUGGACAAGGCCAGAAACGGGUGGAAAUGAGGCGGGAUAGCGACCAUCUGGCGCCGAGAUGCUUUCUCGCAUGUGCGCCGAGAGAUUCUGUGUUGGUCAAACAGGAUUUUGAACUUUGAAUCAUCCGUGGGCGUUCUUCGGCGCAGCAUCGGCGGCUUCUUUCCUUGAGCAUUGGAUGCUAUGCCCAGGAAGGUCCCGCUUCUGUCUUGCCUCGUUCGUUCUCUCCCCUUCAGCCCACACAGACGUUCCUCUGCGGUUUGACACCUGUGUGUGUGUGUGUGUGUGUGUGUGCGCGCUGCUUCCACGUGUUACGUGAUCUAAAGAAAAUGGUGGGUGGAAGGAAGUGGCAGCACAAUGGUUCUUUAACAGACACACGAAGGCACACACACACACACACACACACAGAAAGAACACACACCAGUUUCACACCGUGAAGAUAAAAUGUCAGGGUUGGUUUGAGGAGACAACUGCAGGUGCCGCUUCUGGCGCAGGGUCCCGCUGAGGUAUUGGGGCAGCGGUUGAGAACUGCCAGGCUUAAAUGUCAAAACAUCUUUUGGGGGGGGGGGGUCCAGAGCUGCGUUUGCAACCAAAACUGUUUACCUUAAUGAUGACUGUGUAACCUUUGGUUCGCCCGAGAUGCACAUUUGCUCUCUUUUUGUAUGACGGCGAAUUUGGCAGCGAACAUGAGUCCUGCAAUCAUGAAUAACGUCGGCGUGUGAAUAGCGUGACUUGUGCACCCCUUUUCACACUGAGGUUGCUGUUUAGGAGUCGACUAAACAUGGCGAGCACAUAUGUCUAAAGCGCAAGGCUAUCAAGGAUCCCAUUAAAGCUCCCUUGGGCUUUUGUUCCUUUUAAUACAUGUUAAAUGUUUAAAAAAAAAAAAACAAAACACGACAGCUAUUUAGUGACAUGAAUUCCUUGUAUUCCACUCUCCCGUUUAAGCGUUGCCUUCGAGGCGAACGAUAGACUCUUGCUCAUCCGUCAACGCCCGGCGCAGAUGUUCCCCAACGCUUAAGAUUUAUGGGCCGUCUAAUUCAAGAGUUCCUCCGGGUUUUUUUUCUUUUUUUUGUGAAAAUCAGUCCCCGUUGGGAAUGUGCGGUUUGAGAUCCGUCGUCGUCAAAAGAUGUGUUGAAUAGUUGGAUUGUUCGAAUUUGUUUACUAAGAAUAAACAGAUUUUUAUUUUUU